rnacentral:rRNA from 1 species
UGGAGGGCAAGUCUGGUGCCAGCAGCCGCGGUAAUUCCAGCUCCAAUAGCGUAUAUUAAAGUUGUUGCAGUUAAAAAGCUCGUAGUUGAAUUUCGGGAUCAAUAUGUCGGUCGUGCCUUCGGUACGUACUGGUAUCAUUGGUCUCUCCUUUCUGACGAACCAUGAUGUCAUUAAUUUGGUGUUAUGGGGAGUUAGGACUGUUACUUUGAAAAAAUUAGAGUGUUUAAAGCAGGCUUUAGCUUGAAUACAUUAGCAUGGAAUAAUGAAAUAGGACGUUCGAACCUAUUUUGUUGGUUUCUAGGAUCAACGUAAUGAUUAAUAGGGAUAGUUGGGGGCAUUAGUAUUCAAUUGUCAGAGGUGAAAUUCCUGGAUUUAUUGAAGACUAACUACUGCGAAAGCAUUUGCCAAGGAUGUUUUCAUUAAUCAAGAACGAAAGUUAGGGGAUCGAAGACGAUCAGAUACCGUCGUAGUCUUAACCAUAAACUAUGCCGACUAGGGAUCGGAUGAUGUUAAUUUUUUAAUGACUCAUUCGGCGCCUUACGGGAAAC